GGUAGGAUGUACGCAAACCCUACCCCUGCCUUUGUGGGGUAGAUAGUUUGUUUCCGGUAGACCCUUGGCUCAAAACAAAAGUUUUUUAAGCAAGGAAAAUGCAAUAGAAAAAUAGCAAAAUAGCAAGAUACAAAGCAAAUGAAACAACAGACGGUACCACACAUUGAAAAAUAAGAAACAAAGCAAAUGCUAACUAGUACUACCACUACUAAUAGGAGGGGUAUUAUAUAAUUUUUUGAAUUAAUUUAAAUUGAAAAGUAUUAUAUAAAUUAGAAAGUCGUUUGUUUACAUUGAUGGGAUGUAUAAGAAUAUUUCAUGAGAUCCAUUAUCCCACCUUUUGUAUGAAAUUGCUAAUUUCACCAUUUUGUACAAAAUUAUUUUUGGAGCUAAUCAACAUCUAUAUUCAAAUAUGUAUAAAUUAGAAAGUCGUUUGUUUACAUUGAUGGGAUGUAUAAGAAUAUUUCAUGAGAUCCAUUAUCCCACCUUUUAUAUGAAAUAGCUAAUGUCACCAUUUUGUACAAAAUUAUUUUCGGAGCUAAUCAACAUCCAUAUUCAAAUAUGAGACUGAGUUGUUGUUCGGUAGCUGGUUAGAAUUAUGCAGGUAUUAGCUAUUCUAUCCUCUACUCCGUAUAAGAUAAUACACCAAUUCCCUCAUAACUCAUACAUGUAUUAGUUACGAGUUUCUAAAUUGCAAACCAAACUUCAUAUUAGUUUUAAUCACGAAUAAUUUAUUUCCUAAUUAACUACCAAACAUUGUAUAACUUAUACAAAAUUUAAUAAAUAUAUAAAUUGCUUCUUUACUAGCUACCAAACGACGACUGAUUGUUUGUUAUUGUAGUUGUCAGUCAACUAUGAGGUAAAAUAAUCAGAC
rnacentral:lncRNA from 1 species